AGUGGCGCACGGGUGAGUAACACAUGGCUGACCUGCCCCUCAGAGGGGGACAACCGGUGGAAACGCCGGCUAAUACCCCAUGCUUGCGUCCGGGUUAGAGGCCGGAUGCAGAAAGGCCGAGGCGCUGAGGGAGGGGGCUGUGGUCCAUCAGCUAGUUGGUAGGGUAACGGCCUACCAAGGCGAGGACGGAUAGGGGGCCUGAGAGGGUGACCCCCCACACGGGCACUGAGACACGGGCCCGACUCCUACGGGAGGCAGCAGUAAGGGAUAUUGCGACAAUGGGCGAAAGCCUGACGCAGCAACGCCGCGUGGAGGAUGAAGGCCUUCGGGUUGUAAACUCCUUUUCUGUGGGAAGAGGAAGGACGGUACCACAGGAAGAAGUCUCGGCUAACUACGUGCCAGCAGCCGCGGUAAAACGUAGGAGGCGAGCGUUAUCCGGAUUUACUGGGUGUAAAGCGCGUGCAGGCGGUCUGGUAAGUCGAGCGUGAAAGCUCCCGGCUCAACCGGGAGAGGACGUGCGAAACUGCGAGGCUAGAGACAGGUAGAGGCGUACGGAAUUCCGGGUGUAGUGGUGAAAUGCGUAGAUAUCCGGAGGAACACCAGUGGCGAAGGCGGUACGCUGGGCCUGGUCUGACGCUAAGACGCGAAAGCAUGGGGAGCGAACGGGAUUAGAAACCCCGGUAGUCCAUGCCGUAAACGAUGCUAACUAGGUGUUGCGGGUAAAAGACCGGCAGUGCCGGAGUUAACGCGAUAAGUUAGCCACCUGGGGACUACGGUCGCAAGGCUAAAACUCAAAGGAAUUGACGGGGGCCCGCACAAGCAGCGGAGCGUGUGGUUUAAUUCGAGGCUACACGAAGAACCUUACCUGGGUUUGACAUGACGGUGGUAGGGAACCGAAAGGGGACCGACCUUCGGGAGCCGCCACAGGUGCUGCAUGGCUGUCGUCAGCUCGUGUCGUGAGA
rnacentral:rRNA from 1 species